GUCAGGAUGGCCAAGUGGUCUAAGGUGCCAGACUCAAGGUCCUGCCUUUCUCUCAGCUCGGUGUUCUGGUGUCGGAAUGGAGAUGUGGGUUCAAAUCCCAC
rnacentral:tRNA from 1 species